CCUACCCGAAUUUUGAAAUUGCGAUCAGUGACUGGCAUUGGGUGAACAAAGCUUUUUGAAGUUGAAUUGGCUAUUAAAAACUAUUUGCGCACCACAAGCAUGCAAGCUCCCAAACUGACCCAGUAG